CUCUGAUGGCGAGUGGCGAACGGGUGAGUAACAUAUCGGAACGUGCCUAGUAAUGGGGAAUAACUAAUCGAAAGAUUAGCUAAUACCGCAUACGACCUACGGGUGAAAGCAGGGGAUCUUCGGACCUUGCGUUAUUAGAGCGGCCGCUAUCUGAUUAGGUUGUUGGUGAGGUAAAAGCUCACCAAGCCGACGAUCCAUAGCUGGUUUGAGAGGAUGAUCAGCCACACUGGGACUGAGACACGGCCCAGACUCC
rnacentral:rRNA from 1 species